AAACAUCGCCUCCUGAAUAAUUAUAGGAGGUCCAGCCUGCCCAGUGACAAAGUUCAACGGCCGCGGUACCCUAACCGUGCGAAGGUAGCAUAAUCACUUGUUCUUUAAAUGAGGACUAGUAUCAACGGCAUCACGAGGACCAUACUGUCUCCCCUCUCCAGUCAGUGAAACUGAUCUCCCCGUGAAGAAGCUGGGAUAAACCUAUAAGACGAGAAGACCCCAUGGAGCUUUAAACCCGAUAUACACCUCUGCAAAACCAGACCAAUCUAGCCACAAAGGCAUGUAUACCGGUUUUAGGUUGGGGGGACCGCGGAGUAAAACUAAACCUCCACGACAAACGGGCUAACGCCCUGAUCCAAGAACCACACUUCUAAGAGCCAAUAUAUUGUUGUUCAUGACUCCAAUAUUUGAUUAACGAACCAAGUUACCCUGGGGAUAACAGCGCAAUCUACUUUGAGAGCCCCUAUCGACAAGUGGGUUUACGACCUCGAUGUUGGAUCAGGGUGUCCAACUGGCGCAGCCGCUACUAAAGGUUCGUU
rnacentral:rRNA from 1 species